rnacentral:rRNA from 1 species
CAGCAGCCGCGGUAAUACGUAGGUGGCAAGCGUUGUCCGGAAUUAUUGGGCGUAAAGGGCUCGCAGGCGGUUUCUUAAGUCUGAUGUGAAAGCCCCCGGCUCAACCGGGAAGGGUCAUUGGAAACUGGGAAACUUGAGUGCAGAAGAGGAGAGUGGAAUUCCACGUGUAGCGGUGAAAUGCGUAGAGAUGUGGAGGAACACCAGUGGCGAAGGCGACUCUCUGGUCUGUAACUGACGCUGAGGAGCGAAAGCGUGGGGAGCGAACAGGAUUAGAUACCCCGGUAGUCCCUGUCUCUUAUAC